rnacentral:piRNA from 1 species
UCAAGUCUUACAUUGCCUUUCAGCAAA